rnacentral:sRNA from 1 species
CGUGCUCUGCAAUUCAGAGUUAUUAGUGAAACUGCAAGUCGAAAGUAAAUUCUUAGUAAAACGCGUUACCGUUGUUAUCCUUAGUGUUUCCCUUAGCUUCAUCGUUACAUUAAAUAGUUCAAAUUUUCAGUGCAUAUAGAAGAUUAACUUAACUUAUAUAAGGAAGACAUCAUGUCUAACAAAACUACUGGUAUCGUAAAAUGGUUUAACGAAGAGAAAGGCUUCGGUUUCAUCACUCCAGAAAACGGCGGUGCUGACGUAUUCGUUCACUUCCGUGCUAUCGCUUCUGAAGGUUUCAAAACUCUAAAAGAAGGCCAACAGGUUUCUUUUGAAGUUGAACAAGGUCAAAAAGGCCCACAAGCUGCUAACGUAGUACCAGCUUAAUUUUAGAUUGACCUAAGCGUCAAUUAUCUAAGAUUCGAAAAACCAGCCCAAGUGGCUGGUUUUUUAUU